UCUGCGCGCGAAUGCCGUGGCGCGAACUUGGGACUGCGGAGGCGCGCCCGGCGGAUCUGAGUGUGUUGCCCGGGCAGCGGCGCGCGGGACCAACGCGAGGCAAGUGGGGCCGUCCGCAAGCAGGAGCAGCUAACAGACGAAGAAAAGAGCUGGACAGGAAGGGAGAAUUCUGACGCCAACAUGCAGCGAAGUAUCAUGUCAUUUUUCCACCCCAAGAAAGAGGGUAAAGCGAAGAAGCCUGAGAAGGAGGCAUCCAACAGCAGCAGAGAGACAGAGCCCCCUCCAAAGGUGGCACUGAAGGAGUGGAAUGGAGUGGUGUCCGAGAGUGACUCUCCAGUGAAGAGGCCAGGGAGGAAGGCGGCCCGGGUCCUGGGCAGUGAAGGGGAGGAGGAGGAUGAAGCCCUUAGCCCUGCUAAAGGCCAGAAGCCUGCCCCGGACUGCUCACAGGUCUCCCCGCCCCGUCCUGCCACAUGUCCUGAAAACAAUGCUUCCCUCUCUGACACCUCUCCCACGGACAGUUCCCCAUCAGGGAUCCCGAAGCGUCGCACAGCUCGGAAGCAGCUCCCGAAACGGACCAUUCAGGAAGUCCUGGAAGAGCAGAGUGAGGACGAGGACAGAGAAGCCAAGAGGAAGAAGGAGGAGGAAGAAGCGGAGACCCUGAAAGAAAGCCUCACAGAGGCUGAAGUGGCAACAGAGAAGGAAGGAGAAGACGGGGACCAGCCCACCACGCCUCCCAAGCCCCUGAAGACCUCCGAAGCAGAGACCCCGACGGAAAGCGUUUCAGAGCCUGAGGUGGCCACGAAGCAGGAACUGCAGGAGGAGGAGGAGCAGACCAAGCCUCCCCGCAGAGCUCCCAAGACGCUCAGCAGCUUCUUCACCCCCUGGAAGCCAGCAAUCAAAAAAGAAGUGAAGGAAGAGGAGCCAGGGGCUCCAGGAAAGGAGGGAGCUGCUGAGGGACCCCUGGACCCAUCCGGUUACAAUCCUGCCAAGAACAACUAUCAUCCCGUGGAAGAUGCCUGCUGGAAACCGGGCCAGAAGGUCCCUUACCUGGCCGUGGCCCGGACGUUUGAGAAGAUCGAGGAGGUGUCUGCUCGGCUCCGGAUGGUGGAGACGCUGAGCAACUUGCUGCGCUCUGUGGUGGCCCUGUCACCUCCAGACCUCCUCCCUGUCCUCUACCUCAGCCUCAACCACCUUGGGCCACCCCAGCAGGGCCUGGAGCUUGGCGUGGGUGAUGGUGUCCUUCUCAAGGCAGUAGCCCAGGCCACAGGUCGGCAGCUGGAGUCCGUCCGGGCUGAGGCAGCCGAGAAGGGCGACGUGGGGCUAGUGGCCGAGAACAGCCGCAGCACCCAGAGGCUUAUGCUGCCACCACCUCCGCUCACUGCCUCCGGGGUCUUCAGCAAGUUCCGCGACAUCGCCAGGCUCACCGGCAGUGCUUCCACAGCCAAGAAGAUAGACAUCAUCAAAGGCCUCUUUGUGGCCUGCCGCCACUCAGAAGCCCGGUUCAUCGCCAGGUCCCUCAGUGGACGGCUGCGCCUUGGGCUGGCAGAGCAGUCAGUGCUGGCCGCCCUCUCCCAGGCCGUGAGCCUCACGCCCCCGGGCCAAGAAUUCCCACCAGCUGUGGUGGAUGCUGGGAAGGGCAAGACAGCAGAGGCCAGAAAGACAUGGCUGGAGGAGCAAGGCAUGAUCCUGAAGCAGACGUUCUGCGAGGUUCCCGACCUGGACCGAAUUAUCCCUGUGCUGCUGGAGCAUGGCCUGGAUUGUCUCCCGGAGCACUGCAAGCUGAGCCCAGGGAUUCCUCUGAAGCCAAUGCUGGCCCAUCCCACGCGAGGUGUCAGCGAGGUCCUGAAGCGCUUUGAAGAGGCAGCUUUCACCUGCGAAUACAAAUAUGACGGGCAGAGAGCACAGAUCCACGCCCUGGAAGGCGGGGAGGUGAAGAUCUUCAGCAGGAAUCAGGAAGACAACACUGGGAAGUACCCGGACAUCAUCAGCCGCAUCCCCAAGAUUAAACUCCCAUCGGUCACAUCCUUCAUCCUGGACACCGAAGCCGUGGCUUGGGACCGGGAAAAGAAGCAGAUCCAGCCAUUCCAAGUGCUCACCACCCGCAAACGCAAGGAGGUGGAUGCGUCUGAGAUCCAGGUGCAGGUGUGUUUGUACGCCUUCGACCUCAUCUACCUCAAUGGAGAGUCCCUGGUACGUGAGCCCCUUUCCCGGCGCCGGCAGCUGCUCCGGGAGAACUUUGUGGAGACGGAGGGCGAGUUUGUCUUCGCUACCUCCCUGGACACUAAGGACGUCGAGCAGAUCGCCGAGUUCCUGGAGCAGUCGGUGAAAGACUCCUGCGAGGGGCUGAUGGUAAAGACCCUGGAUGUUGAUGCCACCUACGAGAUCGCCAAGAGAUCACACAACUGGCUCAAGCUGAAGAAGGACUACCUUGAUGGCGUGGGUGACACCCUGGACCUGGUGGUGAUCGGUGCCUACCUGGGCCGGGGGAAGCGGGCCGGCCGGUACGGGGGCUUCCUGCUGGCCUCCUAUGACGAGGACAGUGAGGAGCUGCAGGCCAUAUGCAAGCUUGGAACUGGCUUCAGCGACGAGGAGCUGGAGGAGCAUCACCAGAGCCUCAAGGCCCUGGUGCUGCCCAGCCCACGCCCUUACGUGCGGAUAGAUGGCGCCGUGACUCCCGACCACUGGCUGGACCCCAGCGCUGUGUGGGAGGUGAAGUGCGCAGACCUCUCCCUCUCUCCCAUCUACCCUGCUGCACGGGGCCUGGUGGAUAGUGACAAGGGGAUCUCCCUUCGCUUCCCUCGGUUUAUUCGAGUCCGUGAAGACAAGCAGCCGGAGCAGGCCACCACCAGUGCCCAGGUGGCCUGUUUGUACCGGAAGCAAAGUCAGAUUCAGAACCAGCAAGGCGAGGACUCAGGCUCUGACCCUGAAGAUACCUACUAAGCCCUUGCUCUCCUAGGGCCUGGGUACAGGGCAUGAGUUGGAUGGACCCCAGGCUUCCAGAGGCCACCUGGUUCCUAGGCUCAUGCUUCUUCUUCCGUCCUCAAAGCCAGCAGCAUCGCGCCUGCAAAUCUCUCUCCUGAGGUCAUCAGGUCACAUCCUCUCCUCCAUCAGAUCUCUGUUCCUCUCUUCUAAGCACUCAAGUGGUUACAUUUAGGGCCCCCUGGAUGAUCCAGGAUAAUCUCAUUUCAGGAUCCUAACUCAAUCCCAAAGUCUCUUUAGUCACAUAAGAUCGCACAUUCACAGAGGCCGGGCACAGUGGCUCACGCCUUGGGGAGGACUUGGGGAGGCUGAGGUGGGAGGAUCACUUGAAGCCAGGAGUUCAAGACUAGCUUGCUCAACACAGCCAGACUUCAUCUCCUCUAAUUUUAUUAAU